rnacentral:rRNA from 1 species
GAUAAACGCUGGCGGCGCACAUAAGACAUGCAAGUUGAACGGACUUAAUCGAAAUAUUUAUAUUUUGAAGCGGUUAGUGGCGGACUGGUGAGUAACGCGUAAGGAACCUGCCUAUUAGAGGGGAAUAACAGUGAGAAAUCAUUGCUAAUACCGCAUAUGCCAUAGAUAUCACAUGAUAACAGUGGGAAAGGAGCAAUCCGCUAAUAGAUGGCCUUGCGUCUGAUUAGAUAGUUGGUGAGGUAACGGCCUACCAAGUCGACGAUCAGUAGCCGGACUGAGAGGUUGAACGGCCACGUUGGGACUGAGAUACGGCCCAGACUCCUACGGGAGGAAGCAGUCAGAAAUAUUGCGCAGUGGAGGAAACUCUGACGCAGUGACGCCGCGUAAAGGAAGAAGGUUUUCGGAUUGUAGACUAUUGUCGUUAGGAAGGGGAAGGGACGGUACCUAAGAAGGAAGCUCCGGCUAACUACGUG